rnacentral:rRNA from 1 species
AACGAACGCUGGCGGCAGGCUUAACACAUGCAAGUCGAGCGGAGCGAGGGUGCUUGCACCUUAGCUUAGCGGCGGACGGGUGAGUAAUGCUUAGGAAUCUGCCUAUUAGUGGGGGACAACAUUCCGAAAGGAAUGCUAAUACCGCAUACGCCCUACGGGGGAAAGCAGGGGAUCUUCGGACCUUGCGCUAAUAGACGAGCCUAAGUCGGAUUAGCUAGUUGGUGGGGUAAAGGCCUACCAAGGCGACGAGCUGUAGCGGGUCUGAGAGGAUGAUCCGCCAGACUGGGACUGGGACACGGCCCAGACUCCUACGGGAGGCAGCAGUGGGGAAUAUUGGACAAUGGGCGGAAGCCUGAUCCAGCCAUGCCGCGUGUGUGAAGAAGGCCUUUUGGUUGUAAAGCACUUUAAGCGAGGAGGAGGCUCUUAAGGUUAAUACCCUUGAUGAGUGGACGUUACUCGCAGAAUAAGCACCGGCUAACUCUGUGCCAGCCGCCGCCGUAAGAC